rnacentral:rRNA from 1 species
UGUGUGUUAGUGGAAGCGUCUGGAAAGGCGCGCGAUACAGGGUGACAGCCCCGUACACAAAAAUGCACAUGCUGUGAGCUCGAUGAGUAGGGCGGGACACGUGGUAUCCUGUCUGAAUAUGGGGGGACCAUCCUCCAAGGCUAAAUACUCCUGACUGACCGAUAGUGAACCAGUACCGUGAGGGAAAGGCGAAAAGAACCCCGGCGAGGGGAGUGAAAAAGAACCUGAAACCGUGUACGUACAAGCAGUGGGAGCACAGAGCAAUCUGUGUGACUGCGUACCUUUUGUAUAAUGGGUCAGCGACUUAUAUUCUGUAGCAAGGUUAACCGAAUAGGGGAGCCGAAGGGAAACCGAGUCUUAACUGGGCGUUAAGUUGCAGGGUAUAGACCCGAAACCCGGUGAUCUAGCCAUGGGCAGGUUGAAGGUUGGGUAACACUAACUGGAGGACCGAACCGACUAAUGUUGAAAAAUUAGCGGAUGACUUGUGGCUGGGGGUGAAAGGCCAAUCAAACCGGGAGAUAGCUGGUUCUCCCCGAAAGCUAUUUAGGUAGCGCCUCGUGAAUUCAUCUCCGGGGGUAGAGCACUGUUUCGGCAAGGGGGUCAUCCCGACUUACCAACCCGAUGCAAACUGCGAAUACCGGAGAAUGUUAUCACGGGAGACACACGGCGGGUGCUAACGUCCGUCGUGAAGAGGGAAACAACCCAGACCGCCAGCUAAGGUCCCAAAGUCAUGGUUAAGUGGGAAACGAUGUGGGAAGGCCCAGACAGCCAGGAUGUUGGCUUAGAAGCAGCCAUCAUUUAAAGAAAGCGUAAUAGCUCACUGGUCGAGUCGGCCUGCGCGGAAGAUGUAACGGGGCUAAACCAUGCACCGAAGCUGCGGCAGCGACGCUUAUGCGUUGUUGGGUAGGGGAGCGUUCUGUAAGCCUGCGAAGGUGUGCUGUGAGGCAUGCUGGAGGUAUCAGAAGUGCGAAUGCUGACAUAAGUAACGAUAAAGCGGGUGAAAAGCCCGCUCGCCGGAAGACCAAGGGUUCCUGUCCAACGUUAAUCGGGGCAGGGUGAGUCGACCCCUAAGGCGAGGCCGAAAGGCGUAGUCGAUGGGAAACAGGUUAAUAUUCCUGUACUUGGUGUUACUGCGAAGGGGGGACGGAGAAGGCUAUGUUGGCCGGGCGACGGUUGUCCCGGUUUAAGCGUGUAGGCUGGUUUUCCAGGCAAAUCCGGAAAAUCAAGGCUGAGGCGUGAUGACGAGGCACUACGGUGCUGAAGCAACAAAUGCCCUGCUUCCAGGAAAAGCCUCUAAGCAUCAGGUAACAUCAAAUCGUACCCCAAACCGACACAGGUGGUCAGGUAGAGAAUACCAAGGCGCUUGAGAGAACUCGGGUGAAGGAACUAGGCAAAAUGGUGCCGUAACUUCGGGAGAAGGCACGCUGAUAUGUAGGUGAAG